UACAGGGGGUGCAAACGUUGCUCGGAAUCAUUGGGCGUAAAGCGCACGUAGGCGGUUCGUUAUGUCGGAUGUGAAAGCCCAGGGCUUAACCCUGGAAUUGCCUUUAAGACUGCAUCGCUAGAAUCGUGGAGAGGUGAGUGGAAUUCCGAGUGUAGAGGUGAAAUUCGUAGAUAUUCGGAAGAACACCAGUGGCGAAGGCGACUCACUGGACACGUAUUGACGCUGAGGUGCGAAAGCGUGGGGAGCAAACAGG
rnacentral:rRNA from 1 species